GGAAGAAUGACUGUAAAGAGUGUCUUUUCUGGCAGAUUACUUCUGUGAGCAACUGGGUCUCUCAGUUCUUUGGGAGCACCCUGGGAAACAGUGUGGCUAUGACUUGGAGCUGCUCACCAGUUCCAGUCAUUCUGUGGUUGAGAGCUGCUCCCUAUGGAUGUUAAUUCUUCUCUAUUUUAGAUUUUCCACAGGUGUGGGCCCCAUUAGCUCUGGCCACCUGAGAAAGCCCUCAGGCAAAGAGUCGCAGGUGAAAGCCAGCAGUUAGAGGUUCACAGAAAUGAGUGCAGAAGCAUCUUCAGUUGGAGAGCCAUUGCCUCUUGCUGUGAAAUAUUUGGGAAUCUUCAGAAACCAUGAAGAAUAACCUGCUAAAGAUUUUCUUGUAUUGGACAAUUAAUAUAAUUCAUAUACGGUACGGGGGAAAUUUUUGGCUCCCAAGUGAAUGGGAAUGAGGAAGAGAAAGAGAGUGGAAGAACAUUUGUUUUACUGAGGGAAGUUGGGGAAAAGCCAAUGAAAUAGAGACAGCAAGAGAGAGAAAAGAAGGGAGGAAGGAAGGAGAAUUGCUUGAAGUGGAUAACAGAACUGUGAGCAAAGAAAGAAUAGGAAGUGUGAGUACAGCCUGGAGACAGACUGAGGAGACCAUAGACAUCUUCCAUUUGUUUGUAUCUUUUUAAAUUCUUUCAGAAACGUUUUGUGGUUUGCAGUGUCUGAGUGUUUUGUCUUCUUGGUUAAUUUCUUGGUGGUUUUAUAUAUAUGUAUAUAUAUAUAUAUUUGUUGAUGAUUGUUUUCUUAAUCUCUUGGUUAAUUUCUUAGUGGUUUUAUAUAUAUAUAUAUAGUUGUUAAUGUUAUUGUUUUCUUAAUCUCAAUCACAUUGUUGGUGUGUUGAAAUACAAUUUUUUCAUGUUGAUUUUGUAUCUUGCAACUUUGCUAAAUUCAUGUAUUAGUUCAAACAGUUUGUGUAUGUGUAAUCUUUGGAAUUUUCUGCACAUGAGAUCCUGUUGUCUGUGAACUGAGAUAGUUUUGUUUCUUUCUUGUCCAUUUGGAUGCCUUUUGUUUAUUUUCCUUGCCUGGUUCCUCUGGCUGGAUCUUUCAAUGCUAUGUCAAGCUACUUCAAGCUUUUCAAAUUUCACCAUUGAGUAUAAUGGUGCUGUGGAUUAUUCAUAUAUGGCCUUUAUUAUGUUCAGAUUGUUUCCUUCUAUUCCUGGUUUGUCAUGGGUUUUUGUCAUGAAUUGAUCUUGAAUUUUGUCUAAUGCUUUUUCUGCAUCAAAUAAUACGAUUGUGGUUUUUCCAUCAUUCUACAAGUGUGAUGUAUUACACUGUUUGUUGUAAUAUGUUGUUUAUUUCACAUUGUUUGUGUUACACUAAUUGUUGUAAUCAACAAAUGUUGACUCAUAUGUUGAAUUCUCUUUGCCUUUCAUGGAUAGAUCUCACUUGAUUCUGGUGGAUAAACCUUUUGAUGUGCUGGUGAGUGUAGUUUACUAGAAUUUAUUUGAGGAUUUUUGCAUCAAUGUUCAUAAGGGUUAUCUGCCUGCAAAAAAGUUAAAAAAUAAAAAUUAUAAUGGGAAACCCUGUACAACUUUUAGAAUGCCUAAUGUUAAAAAGACUGACAGCUCCAAGUGUUGGCAAGAUUACGCAAGUAGAAAUAUUAUAUAUACCCUGUUGCAUUUCAUUCAGUGCAUUACCUCUGAUUUUCCCGUUCACUUAUAAGGGAAUAUAUUAGUCAAGGUUAUUGAAAGGGACAAAAC
rnacentral:lncRNA from 1 species